rnacentral:rRNA from 1 species
AGCGAACGCUGGCGGCAGGCCUAGUACAUGCAAGUCGAGCGCACCUUCGGGUGAGCGGCGGACGGGUGAGUAACGCGUGGGAACGUGCCCUUUGGUACGGGAUAACUGAGGGAAACUUCAGCUAAUACCGUAUGUGCCCUACGGGGGAAAGAUUUAUCGCCAUUGGAGCGGCCCGCGUUGGAUUAGCUAGUUGGUGGGGUAAAGGCUCACCAAGGCUACGAUCCAUAGCUGGUCUGAGAGGAUGAUCAGCCACACUGGGACUGAGACACGGCCCAGACUCCUACGGGAGGCAGCAGUAGGGAAUCUUGCGCAAUGGGCGAAAGCCUGACGCAGCCAUGCCGCGUGAAUGAUGAAGGUCUUAGGAUUGUAAAAUUCUUUCACCGGGGAAGAUAAUGACGGUACCCGGAGAAGAAGCUCCGGCUAACUCCGUGCCAGCCGCCGCAGUAAUAC